CGGCGGGCUGGCGGGGAGGAGGAGAGGAGAUGGCUCCUCGGAAGGACCCUUGUGCACAGCCGGUCACUCGAGGAGGCAGAGUGAGCCGAGCUGCUUUUUAUUGCGAUGAUCUAAGUUUGUUGUGUGAUUAACUGGAAAGAUCUGGGUCCCAACUCCCUCUUACGGCAGGACCCUCAACCAUGGCUGUUUAAGCAGGACUCCUGCUGCCCCAUAGCCAGGAACAAAGCAAGACCGUUUCCUGGUUAAGAAGCACAACUUUCCUCCGACCUGUCCGUGGCUCCCCCUUGGCCACUGGCCUGGCCUUUCCAUCACCCUCUUUGGCCAUCUGACAAGUGCCACUUCCCCAAAAUUGUGGCAACUCUGGGGAAUCUAAAGUUCAAGUAUCAGCUGGCUGGUGUUUCUCUGUGGAGACAAACCGCAGUCCAAAGCGAGGCCUGACCUUCCUUCUAUUGCUGGCAAAAUGACUCUAAUUCUUCUAUUGCGCUUCCUUUUAACUUCAUGGAAGAAAUGGCGUUGGAGUUUGUUUAAAAGCAUGAGACCGGCCUUCGCUACAUGUUUGUUUAGAGCAUCUGAAGUGCAGAAGUCACAGACUGGGUGAAAAAGGAAUGAGAUAUUUACUACCAGUUAGUCUCUGGAACAAGACCAUCAAAAUUAAAUGAGAGGGGAAAAAAAAAAAAAAAAGAAAGAAAAAGAAAGAGGAAUGAGGCCAGAUGUUCAUUGGUAAGGCAGUUGAGAAGGAGACUUAUCAGUUCAUUUGAGCAAGACAAAGUCUGAGAAAAUGGCUGCUAUGUGGAUACAUACAUAGUUAGGCCAGUAAACAUUUCAGUUUGUUUUGG
rnacentral:lncRNA from 1 species